GUGCCAGCAGCCGCGGUAAUACGUAGGGUGCGAGCGUUAAUCGGAAUUACUGGGCGUAAAGCGUGCGCAGGCGGUUCGAUAAGUCUGAUGUGAAAUCCCCGGGCUCAACCUGGGAACUGCGUUGGAAACUGUCGAGCUAGAGUGUAGAAGAGGGGGGUAGAAUUCCACGUGUAGCAGUGAAAUGCGUAGAGAUGUGGAGGAAUACCGAUGGCGAAGGCAGCCCCCUGGGCUAACACUGACGCUCAUGCACGAAAGCGUGGGGAGCAAACAGGAUUAGAAACCCCCGUAGUCC
rnacentral:rRNA from 1 species